UACGUAGGGGGCAAGCGUUGUCCGGAUUUAUUGGGCGUAAAGAGCUCGUAGGCGGUUGCGGAAGUCGGGUGUGAAAUACCGGGGCUCAACUCCGGGGCGCCAUUCGAUACUCCGCUGACUCGAGUCCGGUAGGGGAAGGUGGAAUUCCUGGUGUAGCGGUGAAAUGCACAGAUAUCAGGAAGAACACCCGUGGCGAAGGCGGCUCUCUGGGACGGUACUGACGCUGAGACGCGAAAGCGUGGGGAGCGAACAGG
rnacentral:rRNA from 1 species